rnacentral:rRNA from 1 species
AUUGAACGCUGGCGGCAUGCCUAACACAUGCAAGUCGAACGGCAGCACGGCAGUAGCAAUACUGUGGGUGGCGAGUGGCGGACGGGUGAGGAAUACGUCGGAAUCUGCCCAGUCGUGGGGGAUAACUAGCCGAAAGGUUAGCUAAUACCGCAUACGACCGAGAGGUGAAAGCGGGGGACCGCAAGGCCUCGCGCGAUUGGAUGAGCCGACGUCGGAUUAGCUAGUUGGUGGGGUAAAGGCCCACCAAGGCGACGAUCCGUAGCUGGUCUGAGAGGAUGAUCAGCCACACUGGAACUGAGACACGGUCCAGACUCCUACGGGAGGCAGCAGUGGGGAAUAUUGGACAAUGGGCGCAAGCCUGAUCCAGCAAUGCCGCGUGUGUGAAGAAGGCCUCGGUUGU